CAAUGUUCUACUCUCCUGCAGGCACAACCAAACAAAAAAAUCCAGAUUCUACUACGUGGAUAGGAUCUACAUCCCAAAAAGAAUGGAAGAGGAGAAGAUUAUCAUCAAAUGGAUAUGAGGACACCAAUCUUGCAGAUCAGUUGAUCAAACUUUUGGAGCGGAACAGCAACAUGCUAAGUGCUGAAUUAGAAGCUCAGAACAUAAAUUAUGAAUUGGAUAGGAG
rnacentral:misc_RNA from 1 species